CGGGUGAGUAAUGCGUGACCAACCUGCCCCAUGCUCCAGAAUAGCUCUUGGAAACGGGUGGUAAUGCUGGAUGCUCCAAUUGACGCAUGUCUUGUUGGGAAAGUGUUUAGUGGCAUGGGAUGGGGUCGCGUCCUAUCAGCUUGUAGGCGGGGUAAUGGCCCACCUAGGCUUCGACGGGUAGCCGGCCUGAGAGGGCGGACGGCCACAUUGGGACUGAGAUACGGCCCAGACUCCUACGGGAGGCAGCAGCU
rnacentral:rRNA from 1 species